UGCGGCUGCCGGGGCCGGGGCCGGGGCCGGGCUCUGGCUCUGGCUCUGCUCUGUGCGUCCCAGGGCGCUGUCGCCCUGCUCGCAGGGCUUGGCCGAUAGGCCGGCUCCGCUCCGCCCCAGGGACCCGGCGGCGGGGCGGGCGUCGCUUUCUGCGGCUCUCGGGCGGCCGCCGCCCGCCCCGCCCCGCCCGGCAGCCAGCCCGCCGAGCGGCGUUGCUGCGGUCGCGGCCGGGGAAGGCCGCGCUGUGCAGGGCCAGGCCCCGCUGCCGAGAGCGGGGACGGGGGAGCCCGGCUCCCGCCGCGAUUUCUCUGUUUAAUCGCUUUUUUUCCACCCUCCCCUCCGGUUCAACUUUCUGCUUGUGUAAGAAUUCCUCUUGCGGAGGUCGGCCCUUACGGCAAGCCAAAGUUUUUCGCUAUUUCCCGCUUAGCCAGAAGUCGUCGGUGAACACUUUGUCCGCAGCAGUAACAAAUUUGGUAUAGCUGCCAGUGCUCCCGCAGAAACAGGGUCUGACUUGACGGGAGUCAGCCUGCAGGCUCUCUGUGGUUCCCUUGUGCCUGAAAGUGAAAUUUUUCAAAGAGGACUGUCACCCCGCAGGGAUGUAACACAGAGGAGUGGCUGCUGCGAUGUGACUUUUGGUAAUGAGCGUGCUUACUGCCAGCUUCCGCAUGAGAAAGGGACAUGUCAUUGUGGACCAAAUGGAAGAUUUUAUGAAUCACAAGGCCAGAUGAUGAUCCAGUACACGGCAUAUACGGGAGAAAACCGGAGGAGAAUGUUUUAAGGCCGCAGAAUUUCCAGUUUGUCUCUGCACGGGGGUGGUAAGUUUGUUCUCACCCUCCCCUUCCUCCGGAAGAUGUCAUGGUCGGGAUCUGGGGGUUGGAAGAGACCGGCGUGGGGCUGGAGAGCCCUCUGUACAGCCUGCUGUUUCCCAGACCUGGGGCACUGCCAAGCAGCAGCCUGUGAGGGAUGAGCGCUCCCCCACGCCGCCUGCCCUCUGUCUCCCUGGAGCGCGUUAGGUUCUCCAGGAUUUUCAGUAUCCUUUUUCAUUGUCCUUGUGUUUCCUAAGUUCCCUUGAUCCAAAAAAAUAACACGCCAGUAGCUGCGGAGAUGAUUAUUGUUCAGUUCUCACUUUCAGGGAGGAGGGCGGGCAGCCCUGAGGAGCUAGGGUCAGAGAGGAGCAGGCCGAGAGCCAGGUGGUGGCGAGUAGGUGCCACCUGGGGGCUCUGCAGGCUCGGGAGAGGUGUGUGCCACUGAGCGCCGGGCCGGGCACCGGCACCGCGCUCCGGCGCCGUGCCCUCACCGUGCUUCCAAACAUGGAACGAACUUCCCGGCGGGACGGGCUGGGAGUGCUGCCGCCGGGGAAGGAGACGGAGCGCGGAACUGCCGUUUGCCCGCAGCGGUGGCGGGGCCCCGGCUCUCGCUGGCUCCCGUUCCCGCACGGGCAGCGCGGGGCGGGCUCGCCCCCAGCAUCGCCCGUUGCGGGGAGCCGCGGAGUUCUCUCGGGGGGGUGUCCUGGCCUUAGCAUACCUACCGUUAUGCUUUGACGUGUCAUGGUUUUAAUUUUAUCUAUCUGAGAGGAAGCUGCUAAUGAACGUUUAAAGCUUCAUGUAAUUCGUAUGCAAUUUUAUUUUGCAAAGUAAGUCUGUACAUUGAUCUAUUAAAAUCAUU